rnacentral:rRNA from 1 species
UACAGAGGUCUCGAGCGUUGUUCGGAUUCAUUGGGCGUAAAGGGCGCGUAGGCGGCGGGGUAAGUCUGGUGUGAAAUCUCGGAGCUUAACUCCGAAACUGCAUUCGAUACUGCGGUGCUUGAGGACUGGAGAGGAGACUGGAAUUCAUGGUGUAGCAGUGAAAUGCGCAGAUAUCAGGAGGAACACCGGUGGCGAAGGCGGAUCUCUGGGCCGAUACUGACGCUGAGGAGCGAAAGCGUGGGGAGCGAACAGG